rfam:Batrachochytrium dendrobatidis JAM81 unplaced genomic scaffold BATDEscaffold_129, whole genome shotgun sequence.
CUUAGGGGAAGUUCGGUUAAAAACGCAACGUCCUGUCGCAACACCGAACUGACCUACAUCCUGUUGG